GACAGAGGUGCCGAGCGUUAGGCGGAAUCACUGGGCUUAAAGCGUGUGUAGGCGGGUCGUUAAGUGUCUUGUGAAAUCCCCCGGCUCAACCGGGGAAUGGCUGGGCAUACUGGCGAUCUUGAGCAGUCUAGGGGCAGAUGGAACAAGUGGUGGAGCGGUGAAAUGCGUUGAGAUCGGAAGGAACGCCCGUGGCGAAAGCGAGGUCCUGGACGCCUACUGACGCUGAGACGCGAAAGCCAGGGGAGCGAACGGG
rnacentral:rRNA from 1 species